UGACCCCGGUCUAACCACCGGGAUGUUCAUAACCCUUUGUUGUCCGACUCUGUUGCCUCCGGGGCGACCCUGCCUUCGGGCGGGGGCUCCGGGUGGACACUUCAAACUCUUGCGUAACUUUGCAGUCUGAGUAAACUUAAUUAAUAAAUUAAAACUUUUAACAACGGAUCUCUUGGUUCUGGCAUCGAUGAAGAACGCAGCGAAAUGCGAUAAGUAAUGUGAAUUGCAGAAUUCAGUGAAUCAUCGAAUCUUUGAACGCACAUUGCGCCCCCUGGUAUUCCGGGGGGCAUGCCUGUUCGAGCGUCAUUUCACCACUCAAGCCUCGCUUGGUAUUGGGCAACGCGGUCCGCCGCGUGCCUCAAAUCGACCGGCUGGGUCUUCUGUCCCCUAAGCGUUGUGGAAACUAUUCGCUAAAGGGUGUUCGGGAGGCUACGCCGUAAAACAACCCCAUUUCUAAGGUUGACCUCGGAUCAGGUAGGGAUACCCGCUGAACUUAAGCAUAUCAAUAAGCGGAGGAAAAGAAACCAACAGGGAUUGCUCUAGUAACGGCGAGUGAAGCAGCAAUAGCUCAAAUUUGAAAUCUGGCGUCUUCGACGUCCGAGUUGUAAUUUGUAGAGGAUGCUUCUGAGUAACCACCGACCUAAGUUCCUUGGAACAGGACGUCAUAGAGGGUGAGAAUCCCGUAUGCGGUCGGAAAGGUGCUCUAUACGUAGCUCCUUCGACGAGUCGAGUUGUUUGGGAAUGCAGCUCUAAAUGGGAGGUAAAUUUCUUCUAAAGCUAAAUAUUGGCCAGAGACCGAUAGCGCACAAGUAGAGUGAUCGAAAGAUGAAAAGCACUUUGGAAAGAGAGUUAAAAAGCACGUGAAAUUGUUAAAAGGGAAGGGAUUGCAACCAGACUUGCUCGCGGUGUUCCGCCGGUCUUCUGACCGGUCUACUCGCCGCGUUGCAGGCCAGCAUCGUCUGGUGCCGCUGGAUAAGACUUGAGGAAUGUAGCUCCCUCGGGAGUGUUAUAGCCUCUUGUGAUGCAGCGAGCGCCGGGCGAGGUCCGC
rnacentral:rRNA from 1 species